UGUUGACAGGCUCUGGGGUUGGAAAGAAAGCAGUGACACAGCAACCCUUGGAUAUGGUUUUCCAUAAGAUGAACAGUCAGCUCGAUUUCUAGGAUGAGCAAGACGGAAACCUGUUUUGAAAGCCGGACACCCUGCUCUAGAAACCCCGAUAUGCGGGAGCUGGGUGGGAGCAACUUGCCCUAUCCAGCCCCCAACAACCAAGGGAGGCGCAGAGGAGACGAGGGUCAGUAAGGUUCUUGAGGCUGCAAACCACACUGCUGGAAGGCCCCCCUGGAAAAGAGAGAGAGAGGCAGAAGGGAGAUAAGACAUGGAGAAGGGAAGAGCACCCGGUGAAGUAAAAACAGAGCUGAAGCCAUCCAGAAGACAUGCCGUGCAAAAGAGAAAUCUGCCCCUUUAUGAAUGGAUGGCCGUGGUGUUUCACCUGACGCUGCUUGGCGAUCGACUCUGGAUGAUGCUUUAACAAGAGUCUCCGGUAAGCAAGCCCUGGGGCUGGACUUCUUAUCACCUCCUCAAAAUGAUAAUAUCAGGGAGGAAAUGGAGAAGAGUUCGCCUGGACAGAGCUUCUAGCAGCUGCAGCCGUCUCUAAUUAUACAGCAAGAAGCUCUUUCUCUGUAACGCGUCUCCAUAGCCGGGAAAGCUGCACCGGUUGAAUUGCUGCCUGUCGAAAGCACAGGCAUUGGCCUCGUGGCAGCAAGCAUGCAUUGGCCUCUUUGCUAAGCAGGGUCCACCCUGGUUUGCAUUUGAAUGGGAGCCUGUGUGUGUGUGUGUGUGCACUGUAAUAUCUUCCCUUCAGGGGAUGGGGCCACUCUGGGAAGAGCAGAAGGUUCCACGCUCCCUCCCUGGCUUCCCCAAGGUAGGGCUGAGACUCUUGCCUGCAGCCUUGGAGAAGCUAGAUGGACCAAAGGUCUGACUCGGCAGAAGGCAGCUUCCUGUGUUGGCCGCGGAUGAUGGGAGCUGUAGUCCAGCCUGAGGACCCAGGCUUGGAAACCCGGACAAUCGACCACAUAGAUCCAAAAUAAAACCCUGACAAUAGAUCCUGCUAGAGUAAUUACCAGCCCAUUUAAGGUUUGCUUAUUGGAAAGGGCCCACGGGGCUAGUGGACAGAAUGGGAAGCCUAGGGCCUUUCCCCCACCUCCUUUCCGCAAAGCAGACCACAUGGGUUUCAGGGUUUAAAAAUAGAGCCUGCUGCAGCUGCUUUUGCCGUUCUGCGCAUUAGGCCAUGAAAUGAGCAAAUAUCUUCUUGUCCGUUUCAAGGACUCUGCCAAGGGAGGGAGUUGCUGCAGUCUGUGUGGACAAAAAGGGGGCUCUCCCAGUCCACUCUGUUGGUGGUCCGGGAGGCUGUUGGGAGAGGCCACACACAAUCAGCAGAGACCCUUAUCCUCCCCACCGCGUCCUGAAAGCCUGAUUGCAGAUCGUGCUAGAGGGGGAGCCCUGCACAGGUUCAGAGAGGCGCGGUGCUCGUUGCGCCCAGCCUUCUC